rnacentral:rRNA from 1 species
AACCUUGGGCUUGGUCGGCCGGUCCGCCUCAUUGGUGUGCACUGACCCGACCGAGCCUUUCCUUCUGGGUAACCAUAGUGCUUUUUAUUAAGUGCUAUGGGGAACCAGGACUUUUACUUUGAAAAAAUUAGAGUGUUCAAAGCAGGCAUACGCUCGAAUAUAUUAGCAUGGAAUAAUAGAAUAGGACGUACGGUUCUAUUUUGUUGGUUCUCUAGGACCGUCGUAAUGAUUAAUAGGGACAGUCGGGGGCAUCAGUAUUCAAUUGUCAGAGGUGAAAUUCUUGGAUUUAUUGAAGACUAACUACUGCGAAAGCAUU